CCUGAGGAAAAGUCUGUUGCGGGCUUGUUAAGACGUCAUGGGGGCAGCCAUCUUGCCACCAGACUGAGGACCGCAUAGCAGAUGCAGAGGGAACCCGGGUCCCAAAGGAUGUCGUUGAGCUUCCACGUGCCCAGGACCUGGCAGCUACUCAGCAUCUUGUGCUCUGGUUGUUUGGCUUUUCUCCGGAGAAGACCAUGAGAUGAGGAUUAGAGGCUCAGCCCGCCAAACUUUCGGAGCCGCCAGUGAGGCAGCGCCAUCUGCUGGUCAUUUUUUAAAUUGCGAUCCCAUCUUCCCCGGGUCCCGCCUCCCUCCAGAAGUGACCUAUGGACAGGGGAAAAAGAAACAUUUCUAGAUCCUUCAGUACGAUAAAAAUGACCAAGAAGACUAUGAAAUAUGUUCAGACUCGCCAGAAACGAGGAAAUGCACAUUAAGCCACGGACACCACUUCUUGCCAUCACACUGAAAAUAGUUUAAAAAUGCUAAUAUCCCAUGUUAGUUAUAGAAGUUGCAGGGAAAUAGACAUCUCUCAUUCAGACUGAGCUGGUGGAGGGGUAGGUUAGUGCAGACUCUCCAGAGGGACAGAAAUGAAUGUUAUCAAAAUCACAAUGAGUGUGUAAGAUUCAGAAAAACCACUGCUAGAAACUGCCUUAAGAGAACACAAAUAUAAAAAAGACAUUGGAUCAAGGCAUUGGCUGCACUGCUGCCUGAAGGCAGGAAAAUCUGGAACCUUACAAGACAGUUAAAAUAACAGUGGCACGUGCAUUAGAAUACAAUGUUCUUAAAAAUAUACAGAAAAUUGAAUCCUUCUCUAAUCAUAUGUUAUCACACAGUACACUAUAAAGGUGGGUAUAUUUGUCCAAACCUAUAGAAUGUACAAGGGCCAAGGGUGAAGCCUAAUGUAACUAUGGACUCUGGGUGACAAUGACAUGUCACUAUGGAUUCAUCAACUGUAACAAAUGGACCCCUCUGGUGGGGGGUGUCAAUUGUGCAGAGGCAAUGAUGUUGGGGGGUAGGGGGCAUGUGAGAAGUAUCUGUACCUCCCAGCCAGUCUUGCUGUGAACCUAAAAGGCUACAAAUGAACUUAUUUGCAGAACAGAAACAGACUCACAGACUUUGAAAAAUGUAUGGUUAUCAAAGGGGACCCAUGGGGUAGGGGAGGGAGAGACAGGGGGUUUGGGAUUGGCCUGUGCACACUGAGGUCUGUGGAAUGAUUGGCCAAUGGGGACCGGCUGCAUAGUGCAGAGAACUCCACCCAGUAUUCUCUGAUCAUCAGCAUGGGUGCAGAAUCUGACAGAGAAUGGAUGUGUGUACAUGGAUAACGGAACCACUUUGUUGUACAGCAGAAAGGAUCACAGGGUAAAUCAACUAUACUUCCAUCAAACUUUUAAAAAUGCAAAAAGAAGUAACUACAACAACAACAAUUUUUUUUUUUGAAAAGUGUAUUUAGGAGUUCCCUGGCGGCCUAGUGGUUAAGGAUUGGAUGUUGUCACUGCUGUGGGCUCGGGUCACCGCUGUGGUGCAGGUUUGAUCCCUGGCCUGGGAACUUCUGCAUGCCAUGGGUGUGGCCAAAAUAAAUAAUUUUUGAAAAUUUAAAAGUCUAUUUAAAAAUGUAAAAAGCACAGAGUUCUAUCAUGGCUCAUCGGGUUAAGGACUCGGUGUAGGCGCCAUACGGAUGUGGGU
rnacentral:lncRNA from 1 species